AUUGAACGCUGGCGGCAGGCCUAACACAUGCAAGUCGAACGAGUGGCGGACGGGUGAGUAAUGUCUGGGAAACUGCCUGAUGGAGGGGGAUAACUACUGGAAACGGUAGCUAACACCGCCUACCAUCGGAUGUGCCCAUAUGGGAUUAGCUAGUAGGUGGGGGAAAGGCUAACCAAGUCGACGAUGCCUAGCUGGUAUGAGAGGAUGACCAGCCACACGUGAACUGAGAAACGGUCCAGACUCCGACGUGAGGCAGCAGUGGGGAAUAUUGCACAAUGGGCGCAAGCCUGAUGCAGCCAUGCCGCGUGUAUGAAGAAGGCCUUCGGGUUGUAAAGUACUUUCAGCGGGGAGGCGUUACCAGCAGAAGAAGCACCGGCUAACUCCGUGCCAGCAGCCGCGGUAAUUC
rnacentral:rRNA from 1 species